rnacentral:ncRNA from 1 species
UUUCACAACCCGGGGUGGUUAUAACAAUUAACCUGAGAUAAUACCCUUAGUACCUGCUCUGGAUAAUCCCAGCGAAGGAAAAAACGAAACUCCUGACA